UAUUAUUCUUAAAUAUAGUUAUCCCUGGGUUAGUAGUAGAUAUUUACUUAAAAACUAAAAAAUUUGGCGGUAAUUUAAUCUUUCCAGAGGAACUUGUUUUUUAAUCGAUAACCCCCGAAGAAUCUUACUUGUUUAGGUAAAAAGUUUGUAUACCAUCAUUAUCAGGUAAUUUCCAAAGAAGUAAUUUCUAAAUUUAAAAUGUAUAUAAAAAUUAGAUCAUGGUGCAGCUGAUAGGCAAGUUAAAAUGAGUUACAAUAAAGUUUUUUAUACGGACAGUUAAGGAAGCAAAGCUAUGAAGGAGGAUUUGGUAGUAUCAAAAAUUUAAUAUGUUUUUGAGAUGAUAGCUCUAAAUUAUGUACAUAU
rnacentral:rRNA from 1 species